UACGUAGGGUGCGAGCGUUAAUCGGAAUUACUGGGCGUAAAGGGCGCGUAGGCGGCAUGCCAAGCGUGUGGUGAAAGCCCGGGGCUCAACCCCGGGUCGGCCGUGCGGACUGGCGUGCUCGAGCACUGUAGGGGCGGGUGGAAUUCCGGGUGUAGCGGUGGAAUGCGUAGAGAUCCGGAAGAACACCGGUGGCGAAGGCGGCCCGCUGGGCAGGAAGGCUCGCAAGAGCCGGCUGACGCUGAGGCGCGACAGCGUGGGGAGCAAACAGG
rnacentral:rRNA from 1 species